GUAGGUGGCAAGCGUUGUCCGGAAUUAUUGGGCGUAAAGCGCGCGCAGGGCGGUCCUUUAAGUCUGAUGUGAAAGCCCACGGCUCAACCGUGGAGGGUCAUUGGAAACUGGGGGACUUGAGUACAGAAGAGGAAAGCGGAAUUCCAAGUGUAGCGGUGAAAUGCGUAGAGAUUUGGAGGAACACCAGUGGCGAAGGCGGCUUUCUGGUCUGUAACUGACGCUGAGGCGCGAAAGCGUGGGGAGCAAACAGGAUUAGAUACCCUGGUAGUCCACGCCGUAAACGAUGAGUGCUAAGUGUUAGGGGGUUUCCGCCCCUUAGUGCUGCAGCUAACGCAUUAAGCACUCCGCCUGGGGAGUACGGCUGCAAGGCUG
rnacentral:rRNA from 1 species